rnacentral:rRNA from 1 species
GACGAACGCUGGCGGCGUGCCUAAUACAUGCAAGUAGAACGCACAGUUUAUACCGUAGCUUGCUACACCAUAGACUGUGAGUUGCGAACGGGUGAGUAACGCGUAGGUAACCUGCCUGGUAGCGGGGGAUAACUAUUGGAAACGAUAGCUAAUACCGCAUAAUAUUAAUUAUUGCAUGAUAAUUAAUUGAAAUGUGCAAUUGCACCACUACCAGAUGGACCUGCGUUGUAUUAGCUAGUAGGUGAGGUAACGGCUCACCUAGGCGACGAUACAUAGCCGACCUGAGAGGGUGAUCGGCCACACUGGGACUGGAACACGGCCCAGACCCCUACGGGAGGCAGCAGUAGGGAAUCUUCGGCAAAGGACGAAAGGCUGACCGAGGAAAGCCGCGUGAGGGAAGAAGGGUUUCGGAUCGUAAAGAUCUGUUGUAAGAGAAGAAAGGGUGUGAGAGUGGAAAGUUCACACUGUGACGGUAUCUUACCAGAAAGGGACGGCUAACUACGUG